UACGAAGGUGGCAAGCGUUGUUCGGAUUUACUGGGCGUAAAGGGCUCGUAGGCGGCCAACUAAGUCCGACGUGAAAUCCCCAGGCUCAACCUGGGAACUGCGUCGGAUACUGGAUGGCUUGAAUUCGGGAGAGGGAUGCAGAAUUCCAGGUGUAGCGGUGAAAUGCGUAGAUAUCUGGAGGAAUACCGGUGGCGAAGGCGGCAUCCUGGACCGACAUUGACGCUGAGGAGCGAAAGCUAGGGGAGCAAACGGG
rnacentral:rRNA from 1 species